UCCCUGGUGUUCUAACAGGUAAGGACUCAGCAUUGUCAAUGCUGUGGCUAGGGUUCAAUCCCUGGCCCUGGAA
rnacentral:tRNA from 1 species